GAGUAAGCCCAGCCCACAGUUAAAACUUCUGAAUCGGGUUAAUUGUCAGGGUCAUCCUGAUAUUAGAUUCACUGCAGGAAAAUCCACUCUGGCCCCACGUGGGAUGCAAGAUGGGUCAUUUAAUCAUUUAUGAACACGUGCUCGCUUCAGUCUCUUGGCGUUCGUGGGCCUGGACUUGAGCCAUGAGCCGAUGAUGAGAUGGCCCCUGCGAGGCAGGACGACAGUGGCCGGGCAGUAACACUAAACUGCGGUCAAUCAGCAGGCUCCGCCAGCUCGGCCUGCAAAUCCCUCUGAGACGCGGGCGAGGUCUCCGGGCUCCUAGAAACACAAACCUUCACCUUCUCCUCCAUCCUCACAUCAUCUGUGUUAAGGUUAUCUCCGUCUUUGGGCAGUGAGCGUCCAUCUGUCUCCUUCUCAGAUGCUUUUUGUUAACUGAUUUUGUAAUACACUCUUAUCUUUUUAAUAAAAACAAUUCUUUUAGCUGUGUUAAUGUACUUUUUAUAUGUUCUUUUAUCCGCUCGUUUUUUUAAAGUGCUUCGAAUUACCGAUAUGUCUGGAUUGCACUAUAUAAAUAAACUUGCCUUGCCGUCUCCUCCUCCAUCAUCUGUGUUAAGAUUAUCUCCCGUCUUCGAGUGUCCGUCUGUCUGCAGCGCGCCGUCAUUUCUCCUUUUGCUCUCCUUAUUUCUUUCUCUCAUCCAAACUUCAUGUCACUCGUUCCCCUUCAUGUAGUCGUCUUCUUUUUUUAAUGCCUAGUGUAAACAGGCUUAGUGACACUUGCUUUUUUUUGGGGUGGGGGUGGGGGCCGGCUAGCUGCUGCUUCUUCUUCUUCUUUUUUUUCCCCUUCUCUCGCUAUCUGGCCGUGGUGUCACCUGAGAGCUUUCACAAACACUGUCAGCACUAGUGACGUUUUAAUCCCGGGGCUUAUGGCUGGUAACUGAGCCUUCACAGGAGAGGACAGGAGAGGAGAGGAGGGGAAGAAGAGGCAGAGGGGUCAGCCACACCACGCUGCUCGCUCUGGGCCCUCGCCAGGCCUCAUCGGGCCGGUCCUGGGCUCAGCGCGCCUCUCCUAAUCACACCCACUUGUCUUCAGAAGAGCCCUGACCUUUACUAGAAGCACCUUUGAUUUUUUUUUUUAGCCCUCUCCUCCUCCUCCUUCUCCUUCUUCUCCUCACUCACAAUAAGACCCAGGCCAGGGCCAGAGAUGAUAAAAUAUGGCCCUCCUCUCCUGAAAUAUGGGCCUUACCACCAAAGAUUUAUUGUUCUAAGACGUUCCCCCACCAUAAAAAAAAGCAAAAAGCAAAAAGUAAAGAA